GAUCAGGCAGGAUUCAGAAGAACCAGUUUUAGCCCAGAAUGCUCAUUAGCUACUCUGAUCUUGAUUUAAGAACUCAGCGGAAAUGUUGCAAAGCUGAAGGAAAGGUGGGAUUUAUGUUUUGAAGCCAAAAGGUGACUCAGCAGUGGCAUGAGGGGCUCUGCCACCCUGCAUAUCCCCUGCAGGGGCCUUCUCAAUGCUGCUUCACUAGUUCUAUAAUCAAUCCCUGCACCCCACCUCGAUGCUAGCUAGACACUGGCUUGGGUGCUGGGAACAGGAGGAGGACCUUUAUUUCAAAGACUGCCUUCUGUGAUUACUUGUAUCUCUCUGAGUUUCAAGACCACACUUUUGACCUUCUGUGUAUCAGGGACUUUACAGUCACUUUCCUGGUUCAAGAUUUCCAAAACUGUUAAGAUAAACCAUCUGCAAAAUAAUGAAAAGAAUGUAAAUUUCUAAAUAGCA